GAUGAACGCUAGCGGCAGGCUUAACACAUGCAAGUCGAGGGGCAGCGGGAGUAGCAAUACUUGCCGGCGACCGGCGCAAGGGUGCGUAACGCGUGAGCAACAUGCCCGUAUCAGGGGGAUAAUCCAGGGAAACUUGGUCUAAUACCGCAUAAUGAUUCCGGAAGGCAUCUUUUGGGAUUUAAAAUUUCGAUGGAUACGGAUUGGCUCGCGUGACAUUAGCUGGAUGGAGAGGUAACGGCUCACCAUGGCUACGAUGUCUAGGGGUUCUGAGAGGAAGGUCCCCCACACUGGAACUGAGACACGGUCCAGACUCCUACGGGAGGCAGCAGUGAGGAAUAUUGGACAAUGGAUGGAAAUCUGAUCCAGCCAUGCCGCGUGCAGGAAGACGGCCCUAUGGGUUGUAAACUGCUUUUGUAUGGGAGCAAUAAGGGCUACGAGUAGCCUGAUGAGAGUACCAUACGAAUAAGGACCGGCUAACUCCGUG
rnacentral:rRNA from 2 species